GCGCUUGUGGCCUAAGGCGUCUGACUUCUAAUCAGACGAUUGUGGGUUCGAGUCCUACCAGGCGUG
rnacentral:tRNA from 1 species